AGGCAAAAUGAUCGCCUGGAAGCCAAGGAGAGACUUUGGAGUUUGCUUCCCCAACACUGCCCAAGCCCCAUCCAGCCAACACAGGGGAGACCUUCAGCAAUGCCCAAGGAGAAAGCCAAGGCAGUGACUCCUGUUUCAGCCAACUGCCUGCUCCAGACAGGCUCGAUCUCACCCCUGACCUGGAGACCUCGGGGUCCUGUCGGAUGAGCAGGAGGAUCCGCUCGGUGUUGAUGAAGAGCGCCCAGCAAGGGAAGCAGCACAGCAGCAGGAUGAGGAUCCCCCGCUGCAGGAUGGUGCCCACCUGCUUCAGGUUCUUGCCGCCAUAUGUCUGAGUCAGGAGAGAGGACCAAGGUAAGCUUUACAGGGAACCAAGGGGUCUGGGCAAAUCCUUAGACAUUUAACAGGGAGGUUAACAUCAAUUAAUUAACAGCAAUAGGCUGAUUAAAUGCAUUUCCCAUGCUCUGCAGUGGCUAGUGCCAGGCUGGUUGGGUUUAACUGGCUCUCAGGUGGAUUGCACAUCCCUUUGCUGCCCAGGCAUGGCCCAGGGCUCCUUGGGGGAGCUGCAGGGAGGGAGCAGGCUCCAGCCAGUGCAUUUGUAGCCCCAGGCUGGCUGGAAGCUGCCAACCUCCUGCCCUUUGUGCCCAGAUCACACUGCACAGGAGGUGAGACAACACUAAUUGAACCCUGUCAGGCACAGGAAAGGGGGAGCUGCUACUGACCUGGGACAUCAGCGUGUCACAUGCUGAGGCUAAACCAGAACCGAUGGAGAUGCCUGUCACGUUGAUAACCUGGAAGAGAGACAAGGGACUUGAGUUGCAAGGGAGGGUGACAGGGGACCUGGCCCAAAGCGCUGUGUCCCUCCCAGCUGGGUGGGGAGACUGUUCUGCUGCAAGUUUCUGGGAAGCUUCCAGCCCUUCUCCAUUUCUCAGAAUAACACAUUCUUGUUACCUAAAUAGUCUCUUCUCCUCUCUGGCAUGGAAAAGGAUCAUCUAGCAAGAGGUGAAUAUCUAAAGGACAAAGAGCGCAGCUCCAAGCAGAAAGGUUUGGUAGAUGCGAUGUUUGCAUUGCAUCAGGCUGUGCUUAUACACAGGGUCCUCAAAAAUACAUUCCUACAGGUUUGGGGUUUUUUUCUUCUUUUGGUGACACAUAAUUUGUAUAUUUUAAAUCAGAGCAGAAUCAGAGUAAUACAUACGGAGACGGCCAGCGUCACAGCAUCCAGUUCGGCUUUCCCCAGGUGACCACAGAAGAUGGAGCUGACCACGCUGAUCAGGAACCCCAGCAGCUGGGCGACAAACUAGGAUGGGAGGAGGAGGAGAGGAACAGUCAGGUUUCCUGGUGUCACCGCAGUGCCUUGCCUCAAGGCCAGGGCUCUGCUGUCGUGGGAACCCACCCCUGCCCACCAGCACUGCUGGGGCAGAGGGGCCAGCUCUAGGACUCUCCCAGGCUCUUGGGGCUUUGUCUUUUAAAGCAUGCCUCUACCUGCCCCGUGGUAUUUUGGUGUUAUGCAGCCGAUCUGGCAGAUGGGGCUUAAUGGCUUCACUAGAAAUCCUCUUUUCCAGGAUGCAAGAUGCACAGAGAGGGAAAAAUAAAAAAAUCCCAAUGCGUUUCCACACCUCUGUGCAUCUAGGGGAAACUCUCCUCCCAAACAGCAACGUCCUUGCCUGCUGGAGAGAUGCCAAGUCCAGCCUGCUUGUUCCUUGCCAGGGGCUACAGCAAGGCUUAAGGAUGCUGUAGCAGAUGCUGUAGCAGACACUGUACUCCAGACCUCAUUUUCCCUUGGCAGGAAGAUGCCCCCUCUACAGGCCUCUGGGGCAUGGAGUCACGGCAGAGCUAGAACCAGAUGCUGGCAAGCCGAGAGCCCAGCAUGCUGCUGGAGAACAGCUCCUGUGGGGUCAGAGGAACAAGAGACCAAAACCUUCUCCUGUCCAGACCUCCCACCGCUGCCUGCAGAUGCAGAUCUCCUACCAGGCCUGGGCACGUUCGACCUGCUCCGAGCUGCCAGGCUCCGCUGGAGCAGAGCGCACGGAUCAAACUGGACAGCAGCUGGAAUCCCUGUGGCAAGGAAUGAGCACUUGGAUGGUAAUUAAGGAAUGAAUGGUGGCGUUUUAAUUCUAGCCGUGCCUUCGGCGGGCACGGACUGAGGGGCGGGAGGGACGGG